rnacentral:lncRNA from 1 species
ACUCAGUUGCGGCAAGUUCUGGAACAUUUGUCUCAGCAGAGUGAAAGCCAGUAUCUUAAAAUCCUGACAAGUCUUGCUGAAGUUGCUACAACUAAUGGUCACAAACUACUUAGGCACUUGAAUCAUGCCUGCUGGCUCUGGUUGUCUUCCAUGGUUACUAAUAUAUGUAUGAAAGCACCUGUACUGCAGCAAGGCAAAAAUAGCAUCAACAGUGUGCUAUCUCAGCAGUGCAAGUAGCAGUUAGUUGAAGAAGCAUUGUAAAAUAGGCAAGUGUGUUUUCCUAGUACACUUUACUAAUUUUUGUGGCAUCUGUUAAAGUCAGUUUGUGCAAAACACCUCAUCUGUAAUGUGUUGGAACUUCAAAUGUGUUUAAUGUAAAUUUUGCAUUUCUAUUUGAUUUAUUACUGUUAUUGCUCCAUUAUAUUGAGCAACAUUCUCUCAGUAUGACUGUAGAAACAGACUGUAGAAACAGCUUGUACGCGUCUCAGAAUAUGAGCUGCUAUGUGCUUCUGUAGUUGCUGAAUGCGAAUUGUCUAGCUCAGGCUGAAGACAGAUUAGAAGCAUUCUGUUGCAUGGGCUGGCAUUUCUGGAGAUGUCUGUACUGAGGGUGUCCUGCAGGCUCUUACUGACCCACUUCUUUUUGGCAUAUCGUCACAAGGGAUAUGGAAUUAUUUUUCUAUUAUAAGAUGUAAAUUUCAGAAACUGCAUUCAAUUUGUGCUUCAAUUUCUCAGUUGCUCUUAGCAUUAACUUAACGAAGCUGAAGGUACUACUUGGUACGUAUAGCCCUCUGAGCUAGGGCCUCUUUCUUCUCUCUUACUUUCAGCAAAUUGUAUGGAAAAUGCAAUCCACGUAUUUGAACUUCUGUCAAUGUUAACUCUUGUGUGGCUGAGCCAGUAACAGUGGAGUAUUAGUUUCCUGUGCAGUAACCUACAGACCAUUGCUGUUGGGUUUGUUCAUUAUUUAGUCUGGAAUCAUCUGAAGUAAAUUUUUGUAGUGCUUCUAACAGGUGGCCUGGAGUGACUGUGUAUGCAGACUUCUGCCUGAAACACCCACAGUCAUCUUGUUAAAUUAGCUUUCCCUCCAUUGCCCAUUUCUUCUUUUCAAGAAAUAACUGGAAUGAUUUGGUCUUGCUG